AAAUCUAAAUGCGUUUCAGAUGUUACCUCAUUUUCAUUUGCCAUGAAGCAGAAGUUGGCCUUUUCCUCUUGUUCCUCAUCCGAUGAUGAUGAUGAUGAAUCGGAGUCCGACAAAGUGGAGACGAGGACUUUCUUUUUCUUAUAUUUGCUGCCCUUCUUAAGCAAGGGACAGUCAACUCUGAAAUGUCCCGGCUUCUUGCAUUCAUAGCAUCCGAUUCCUUCAUUUUCCCU
rnacentral:lncRNA from 1 species